rnacentral:rRNA from 1 species
AAUAUUGGACACUGGGCGCAAGCCUGAUCCAGCAAUGCCGCGUGAGUGAUGAAGGCCCUAGGGUUGUAAAGCUCUUUGACAAGGGAUGAUAAUGACAGUACCUGGAGAAUAAGCUCGGGCUAACUCUUAGCCAGAAUCCGCGGGAAUACGGAGGGAGCUAGCGUUGUUCGGAAUUACUGGGCGUAAAGCGCGCGUAGGCGGCCUGCCAAGUCAGGGGUGAAAGCCCGGGGCUCAACCCCGGAAUUGCCUUUGAAACUGGCAGGCUAGAAUCUUGGAGAGGUCAGUGGAAUUCCGAGUGUAGAGGUGAAAUUCGUAGAUAUUCAGAAGAACACCAGUGGCGAAGGCGACUGACUGGACAAGUAUUGACGCUGAGGUGCGAAAGCGUGGGGAGCAAACA